ensembl:lncRNA
AGUCUUGCUCCUCUGCCUUCUCUCUCCACCAUUUUCCAGGUCUCCGGUUUCACUUACCUCCAAAGCAUCCUUGCUAGAGGGAUUUUUCUAAAAUUAUAUAGGAUGCUAGCACUUCUCCAAAGCAACACUUCCUGGAAACUUAAGAAAGUUUCAAGUUCUAUUAGCAUGACAUAAAUCUUUUCCAUAAGAAAUCACCAAGAGGUAAAACACCUUCCUCUGUUUCAUCAGAUAAGUGUUGUGCAGCAUGUAGAACCCUAGUUCCACCACGGAUGAAAUCUUGGCCCCUUGCAUUGGAAGGACCAAAUCUUAACCUUUGGACCACCAGGGAAGUUCCUCAUUUCUCAGUUUUGAAAUGUGACUCCACCAUCUUAAAAAGUGCAAAAAGAAGGCAUUAUUUGUGUUCAAAAUGCUUUAUUUGGUGAAGGGCAGUGAAGAUUUAUUAUUCCUUGAAUUUAAAUUUCCACAGCACUUAAUGGAUCUAUGUCAGAACACUUAGAUUGUGUGCCUCUCUCUGUAAAAGACAGAUUAAGACUUGUUGGAAGACAGGGACUUGGUUCACUCAUCUUCACACAUUUGUCUCAUCCUGCUUCAGAUUAGUUGCCACGUGUGUAGAAUACAGUAAAUUAUCUUAGCAAACUGGUGGCUAUUCCCGCUUGUUCUCUCUGCGGUAUGCAAACUUGUAAUCGCCAUUAAGCGGUCAGUAAAUUCAUGUCAAAGAAGUGGGUGAUAUACAUAGGGUAAUACGAUAAUACCUUAACUGUCUACCGCAUGGGCAUCCAGAACUCUAUCUCUGAGCCCAAGACAGGGCCUGCUGGUUCUAUCCCCAAAUUGCCAUGCGCCCCAGGCAACAAGCCCUGCAGCUACCAUGGCAUUUCCUUUCACUCUGAGACCUCAGCAUCCAAUUCUCGCGUCAUUCUCUUCCAUCUCCCUCUUUGAAGUUUUCACAAGCUUUGGUAUAUUUUAGAUA